rnacentral:misc_RNA from 1 species
GAUGAAGAACGCAGCGAAAUGCGAUAAGUAAUGUGAAUUGCAGAAUUCAGUGAAUCAUCGAAUCUUUGAACGCACAUUGCGCCCCUUGGUAUUCCGAGGGGCAUGCCUGUUCGAGCGUCAUUAUAACCCCUCAAGCUCAGCUUGGUGUUGGGGCCUGCUGCACUGGCAGCCCUUAAAAUCAGUGGCGGCGCCAUCUGGCUCUAAGCGUAGUAAUUCUUCUCGCUAUGGAGUCCUGGUGGAUGCUUGCCAUCAACCCCCAAUUUUUCUAUGGUUGACCUCGGAUCAGGUAGGGAUACCCGCUGAACUUAAGCAUAUCAAUAAUCGGAGGA